rnacentral:rRNA from 1 species
AGAUGACGAGUGGCGGACGGGUGAGUAAUGCUUGGGAACUUGCCUUUGCGAGGGGGAUAACAGUUGGAAACGACUGCUAAUACCGCAUAAUGUCUUCGGACCAAACGGGGCUUCGGCUCCGGCGCAAAGAGAGGCCCAAGUGAGAUUAGCUAGUUGGUAAGGUAACGGCUUACCAAGGCGACGAUCUCUAGCUGUUCUGAGAGGAAGAUCAGCCACACUGGGACUGAGACACGGCCCAGACUCCUACGGGAGGCAGCAGUGGGGAAUAUUGCACAAUGGGGGAAACCCUGAUGCAGCCAUGCCGCGUGUGUGAAGAAGGCCUUCGGGUUGUAAAGCACUUUCAGUUGUGAGGAAAAGUUAGUAGUUAAUACCUGCUAGCCGUGACGUUAACAACAGAAGAAGCACCGGCUAACUCCGUGCCAGCAGCCGCGGUAAUACGGAGGGUGCGAGCGUUAAUCGGAAUUACUGGGCGUAAAGCGCACGCAGGCGGUUUGUUAAGCUAGAUGUGAAAGCCCCGGGCUCAACCUGGGAUGGUCAUUUAGAACUGGCAGACUAGAGUCUUGGAGAGGGGAGUGGAAUUCCAGGUGUAGCGGUGAAAUGCGUAGAUAUCUGGAGGAACAUCAGUGGCGAAGGCGACUCCCUGGCCAAAGACUGACGCUCAUGUGCGAAAGUGUGGGUAGCGAACAGGAUUAGAUACCCUGGUAGUCCACACCGUAAACGCUGUCUACUAGCUGUGUGUGCCUUUAAGGCGUGCGUAGCGAAGCUAACGCGCUAAGUAGACCGCCUGGGGGAGUACGGCCGCAAGGUUAAAACUCAAAUGAAUUGACGGGGGCCCGCACAAGCGGUGGAGCAUGUGGUUUAAUUCGAUGCAACGCGAAGAACCUUACCUACACUUGACAUGCUGAGAAGUUACUAGAGAUAGUUUCGUGCCUUCGGGAACUCAGACACAGGUGCUGCAUGGCUGUCGUCAGCUCGUGUCGUGAAAUGUUGGGUUAAGUCCC